rnacentral:rRNA from 1 species
UACAGAGGGGGCAAGCGUUGUUCGGAAUUAUUGGGCGUAAAGGGCGCGUAGGCGGUGCGGUAAGUCACCUGUGAAAUCUCUGGGCUCAACUCAGAGUCUGCAGGCGAAACUGCCGUGCUUGAGUGUGGGAGAGGUGAGUGGAAUUCCCGGUGUAGCGGUGAAAUGCGUAGAUAUCGAGAGGAACACCUGCGGCGAAGGCGGGUUGCUGGGCUGAUACUGACGCUGAGGCGCGAAAGCCAGGGGAGCGAACGGG